rnacentral:rRNA from 1 species
UACGUAGGGUGCAAGCGUUGUCCGGAAUUAUUGGGCGUAAAGAGUUCGUAGGCGGCCGCUUAAGUCAGACGUGAAAUCCCUCGGCUCAACCGGGGCACUGCGUCUGAGACUGAAUGGCUUGAAUCCGGGAGAGGGAUGCGGAAUUCCAGGUGUAGCGGUGAAAUGCGUAGAUAUCUGGAGGAACACCGGUGGCGAAGGCGGCAUCCUGGACCGGUAUUGACGCUGAGGAGCGAAAGCCAGGGGAGCAAACGGG